UGGUGGAGUGAUUUGUCUGGUUAAUUCCGUUAACGAACGAGACCUCGACCUGCUAAAUAGUUUGGCGAAUUCUCCGGGAUUCGUACACAACUUCUUAGAGGGACUAUCGGUGUGUAGCCGAUGGAAGUUCGAGGCAAUAACA
rnacentral:rRNA from 1 species